rnacentral:rRNA from 1 species
UUUACCGUGAAAAAAUUAGAGUGUUCAAAGCAGGCAGAUCCAAUUUUCUGCCACCGAAUACAUUAGCAUGGGAUAAUGGAAUAGGAACCCUGUUCCUCCUAUUUUCAGUUGGGGUUUUGGCAGCGCGAGGACUAGGGUAAUGAUUAAUAGGGAUAGUUGGGGGCAUUAAUAUUUAAUUGUCAGAGGUGAAAUUCUUGGAUUUAUGAAAGAUUAACUUCUGCGAAAGCAUCUGCCAAGGAUGUUUUCAUUAAUCAAGAACGAAAGUUAGGGGAUCGAAGACGAUCAGAUACCGUCGUAGUCUUAAACCAUAAACGAUUGCCGACCAGCGAUUAGGAGACGUUGGAAUACAAAAACACCACCCAUCGGGUGCGGGUCGUCCCCCUGGCGUCCGGUCUUUUCCGGGGGCCGGGCGCCCGGGGGACCGGCUUUAGCCCCCGGGUGGGCACCCGGGUGGAAAUGGACCUCCCCGUAGGCAGCCUUUUGGUUGGAGGAAAAAA